rnacentral:rRNA from 1 species
UUUAAAGGGGUUAUUAAGGAUAACUAGCAAAUUUAUAUAAAAGGAGGCUUCUAAGCCAAAAGUCCCCAUACUCUUAAAGAAUAAUCAAAUUAAUAUUUUAUAUUUAUUAUUAUUACUUAAGAAAAUUACGAUAUGGGACGAUCCUAAGGUAAACCUUUUUAUUAUUACUUCCCGAAGUAAAACAUUUCAAUAGGGAAAGGAAAGGAAAUCAACCGAGACUCCGAAAGUAAUGGUGAGUGAAAUCGGAUUAGCCUACACCUUUACAUAUAAUAACAACAAAGAUUCUAUUUAAAAAUUAAAGUAAACUUAAUAAUUGAUUUUAACUUAUAGCUUAUAGAAUUAAAAUAAAAAUUAAGUAUAAAAUAUUUGGAUUAGUUAACUGAAUUUAAUUAAAUUUAAAUUUAAUGAUGGAAUAUUAGCUAAUUUAUAUAUUUUAAAUAAUUAAAUAUUGAUAUAAUAGUACAUAAAUUUAUUAUUAUAACAAUUUAAUGCUGAAAUUAAUAAAUAAGAAAUGAACUAAUAUAUUAUUUAUAAAUUUAAUUUAUAUUUAUUAUAUUAUUUACAUAGUAAUUACGAUUACUACUUAGAAGGUGAAAUUAGUAAAAUGAGACCUGUAUUUUAUAUGUAAAGUUUAUUAUAUUAAUAUUAUUUGAUUUUAUCUUAAAAUAUAUAUUGGUAUUAAUUUUUUUAAUAUUUGAUUUUGUUGUAAAUCUUAACAAUAUAAUUAAUAAUAUUUUUAUAAUAUUGUGAGUAUUUUAUUUUAUAAUUUUAUUAUUUAUUACAACUAAAUAAUUUUAUUAUAUUUACAUAUAUUACUAUUUAAAUUUUUAAAUUUUAAUUUAUGUAGGUAAUUUACAUUUUUAAGUACGAUGAGAGUUAACUUGUCGGAAUAUAGGGGAACCAUCCUCUAAGGCUAAGUAUUUAUAAAUUUAGCGAUAGUGAAAAGUACCGUGAGGGAAAAGUUGAAAAGAGUGUAGAAUAAUAUUAGAUGUAGAAACAGAAACAAAGAUACAUAGAAUAUUAGUUCUUUCGAAAGUAAAUAACGCAGUGAAACAGAUUUGAAUUAGUAACUCUAUAAGCAGUCAAAAUCAUAAAAAUUUAUAACAUGAUAAUGGCGUACCUUUUGCAUAAUGGGUCAGCAAGUUAAUAGGAGUAGCAAGGUUAAAAGCCUAAGCGAAAGCGACUAGGUCAUUUUUAAUAAGUGAAAUGGGUUAAGUUACUUCUAUUAGACCCGAAGCCAGGUGAUCUUUCCAAGACCAGAUUAUAAUGGAUCGAACGGUUGAAUGUUGCAUAAUUCUCCGAAGAGUUUUGGAAAGCGGUGAAAUGCCAAUCUGACCUGGUGAUAGCUGGUUUUCUACGAAACAUAUUUUAGUAUGACAUCUAUUCAAUAUUUAUGGAGGUACAGCACGGUAAUUCCAUACAAAUAUUAAAUUUAUUUUUAAUAGGAGUUUAAGUUGCGGGGACUUCGAAAAUCUUACCAAUGGAAAUAAAUCUCGGAAUUACAUAAAUAGAUGAUAGAUAUUCAGACUAUUCAUGAUAAGUUGGAUAGUCAAGACGGAAACAGCCGUGAACACAGAUUAAGGUCCCGAAUGAUUAUUAAGUGAAAUAAAGGAAGUGACAAAUCGAAUGCAGUUGAAAAGUGAGCCUGGUAGUCGCUACUUAUAAUGAACGUGUAUCAACGUAUCAGCCCUUAGAUUGUUGCCCCGAAGAUUUAACGGGUCUAAAAUAAUCAACCGAUAUCGUGUUAAUUUUAAAGAUAGAUUCUUAAUAAUAAUUAAUUUUUUAUUAUAUUUAUAUUUAAAAUUUAGGUAGUAGAACAUUCAGAUAAUUUAUAGAAAUAUAGACAAACUAUAGAAAUCCAAACCUAAAAUGAACAGUGUUACAUUGUUUAUAGGAAUCUGAAGAGAUAAUGCUGACAUGAGUAACGUAAAAAGAAAGUUUAAACUUUCUCGCCGAAUACGAAAGGGUUAUUAGCUAAAGAUUAAAUCUACUAAUGUUAAUGCGGUCUCUAAGGUACAAAACCAACGUUUUGGCUGAUGAGUUUAGCUUUGAAAGUCCACAUGGAGAAUAAAAUUUUACACAGAAUUUUUUUGUAAUUUCUUACAAGAAUAGAAGAUUAUAUUUUAAUAAUUUUAAGACAAUUUGCAAAAUUUAAUAUUGAAUUGUUCUGUUAUUAUAUUAUUUGAAUAUUUAAUAUAAUUCUAAAAUUUAUUAGUUUAUUAUUAAUAAAUAUUUUAGUAAAUUUUUAUAUUAAUUGGGGCCAGGAAGAAGAUGUUUAUUUGAAUAACUUCGAAUCUAUAUUCUAAUUUAGUCUUAUAUUUUUAGAAACUUAAAGUGAAUAUUUUAAGAUUAUAUUCUAUUAAAAAAAUAUACAUUAUAUUUUUUAUAUCUUUAAAUUAGUCACUUAAUUUUAUUUUAAUUUUUGUAUAUUUGUAUAAGCAAAAAAUCCUAAGUUAGUAGAAGUUGAUUUAUUAUUAUAAUUUGGUGAGAGUUGAAUUAUUUUAAUAUUUUAAUGAUUUAGGCUAGUUUUUUUUUAGAUUUAGUUUCUAAGCACAACCGUACCCUAAGCCGACACAGGUUCGUAGGUAGAGUAUACUAAGGCGUAGAGCUAAAAGUUGUUAAGGAACUCGGCAAAUUAUCCUCAUAAGUUCGACAACAAGAGGAACCAUGAAUCUUUUAUAAAUUAAUAACUCCUGUUAAUUUAUUUAUAUGGUGGCACAAAAUCGGAAGCCCCGACUGUUUACUAAAAACACAGCUGUCUGCGAUUAUGAAAAUAAUAGUAUAGAUAGCGAGAUUUGCCCAAUGCCAUAUGAAUAAGUAAUAUAAUGGGUAACUGUUUCUUUACAAAAAGGUGGUUAAUAGCGGUCUUAACUAUGAGGAUCCUAAGGUAGCAAAAUAAAUUGGCCAUUAAAUGUGGUCCAGUAUCAAUAAUUUAACGAUGGCUUCACUGUCUCUACAACUUGCUCAGUGAAAUUGAAUUACCCGUGCAGAUGCGGGUUGCCUCAAAUAGGACGGGAAGACCCCAUGCAGCUUUACUGUAGCUAGUUAUCACAUAUAAAGUUCUAUUACCUCGGUUAUACAGAUAAUAGGGAGUCGAUUAGACAUUUAUGGAAAACCUUAAGUCUGAGGUGGAACUGGUGUUUAUCUUUUUAUUUAUAAAAUUUAAGAGGAGAUAUUUGACUAGUUGGCAGUUUGACUGGGGCGGUCGUCUUUAAUAGAGUAGCAAAGUACAUCCAAAUAGAUUAAAAAAUUAAGAUCAUAUUUACUUUUUAAGUAAGGUUAAUAUUCUGACAAAUUAUUUUAUAUUGUAAAUUAUUAUUUUUAAUUAAUAAUUACUUUAAAAUCAAAUUUAAAAAAAUUCAUUAAUAAGGUAUGCUAGACAUUAAAUGGAGGUUAAUGAAUCAUGGAAGAUUCUGGAGAGUGCAAUGGCGGUAAGCAUGCUUAACUGAAAGACUUAAUAGUCGAACAGAUACGUAAGUAGGGCAUAGUGACCCCUUGCUAUAUUAUGGAAUAGACAGGGAUCAAUUGAUAAAAGUUACGCUGGGGAUAACAGCCUAAUAGCCAGCGAGAGUACACAUUGUCCUGGCUGUUUGGGACCUCGAUGUCGACUUAAUUUAUCCUCCAGGGGCAAAACCUUGGAAGGGUUCGGCUGUUCGCCGAUUAAAAAAUUACAUGAGUUGGGUUUAAUACGACGUGAGUCAGUAUGGUCCCUAUCCUUUUGAGGGACAAAUAGUAAAAAGGGGCAGACCUUCUAGUACGAAAGGACCAAUAGGCUGUGUUUCUCUAGUGUACCAAUUGUAAUAUUUCUUUAAUUUACAAAGAUUAAGAUGGAAACAACUGAUUAAAGUAAAUGAAAUAAAAUUUGCAUAGUUGGGUAGCCACAAACAUAUUAGAUAAUUACUGAAAGUAUAUCAAGUUCGAAUCUAUCCCCUAGAUACUAUCAAUGGAUUUCUCUUUGUUCUCUAUCACGAAUGGUAAUUAUUACUUUCCUAGUAUUAUAUCAUUUCUUGAAAUCGGUAAAAAUAUAUAUACUAAAGUUUUAUACUA